rnacentral:rRNA from 1 species
UACGGAAGGCAGCAGUGGGGAAUAUUGCACAAUGGGCACAAGCCUGAUGCAGCCAUGCCGCGUGUAUGAAGAAGGCCUUCGGGUUGUAAAGUACUUUCAGUCGUGAGGAAGGUGUUAAGGUUAAUAACCUUAGCAAUUGACGUUAGCGACAGAAGAAGCACCGGCUAACUCCGUGCCAGCAGCCGCGGUAAUACGGAGGGUGCGAGCGUUAAUCGGAAUUACUGGGCGUAAAGGGCACGCAGGCGGUUAAUUAAGUUGGAUGUGAAAUCCCCGGGCUUAACCUGGGAAUGGCAUUCAAGACUGGUUAGCUAGAGUCUUGUAGAGGGGGUAGAAUUCCAUGUGUAGCGGUGAAAUGCGUAGAGAUGUGGAGGAAUACCGGGUGGCGAAGGCGGCCCCUGGGACAAAGGCUGACGCUCAUGUGCGAAAGCGUGGGGAGCAAACGAGGAUUAGAUACC